CAAGCUAGAGCUUUAAAGCGUUUUAUUUACACUAAAAAGAUAAUUGUUUAAUCAGUUUGGCUUGA
rnacentral:tRNA from 1 species